AAGGACUCCAACCGAUGACUUUGAGACAUGGGUUUGAACUCCGCCUGAGAAUUCCAAGCAUCCACCAGAUGGGAACAGAGAACAUUUGGACUCAAAGACACUCUGAGGAGCUUGUUGAGAAUCCUUUCAGCUGCAGAAAAAAAUGCCAAGCUGGAGUCAGCAAACCAAUAAAGGACGACAUGGCUUUCCACCUGAUGUUUAAUCUGC